rnacentral:rRNA from 1 species
AGAUUGAACGCUAGCGGGAUGCUUUACACAUGCAAGUCGAACGGCAGCGCGGACUUCGGUCUGGCGGCGAGUGGCGAACGGGGUGAGUAAUAUAUCGGAACGUGCCCAGUAGCGGGGGAUAACUACGCGAAAGCGUGGCUAAUACCGCAUACGCCCUACGGGGGAAAGGGGGGAUUCUUCGGAACCUCUCACCAUUGGAGCGGCCGAUAUCAGAUUAGCUAGUUGGUGAGGUAAAGGCUCACCAAGGCGAACGAUCUGUAGCU